rnacentral:rRNA from 1 species
GAUGAACGCUGGCGGCGUGCCUAAUACAUGCAAGUCGAGCGAACAGACGAGGAGCUUGCUCCUCUGACGUUAGCGGCGGACGGGUGAGUAACACGUGGAUAACCUACCUAUAAGACUGGGAUAACUUCGGGAAACCGGAGCUAAUACCGGAUAAUAUAUUGAACCGCAUGGUUCAAUAGUGAAAGACGGUUUUGCUGUCACUUAUAGAUGGAUCCGCGCCGCAUUAGCUAGUUGGUAAGGUAACGGCUUACCAAGGCAACGAUGCGUAGCCGACCUGAGAGGGUGAUAGGCCACACUGGAACUGAGACACGGUCCAGACUCCUACGGGAGGCAGCAGUAGGGAAUCUUCUGCAAUGGGCGAAAGCCUGACGGAGCAACGCCGCGUGAGUGAUGAAGGUCUUCGGAUCGUAAAACUCUGUUAUUAGGGAAGAACAAAUGUGUAAGUAACUAUGCACGUCUUGACGGUACCUAAUCAGAAAGCCACGGCUAACUACGUG